GCGGCGGACGGGUGAGUAACACGUGGGCAACCUGCCCUGCAGACUGGGAUAACUUCGGGAAACCGGAGCUAAUACCGGAUAACACCGAAAACCGCAUGGUUUUCGGUUGAAAGGCGGCUUUUAGCUGUCACUGCAGGAUGGGCCCGCGGCGCAUUAGCUAGUUGGUGAGGUAACGGCUCACCAAGGCGACGAUGCGUAGCCGACCUGAGAGGGUGACCGGCCACACUGGGACUGAGACACGGCCCAGACUCCUACGGGAGGCAGCAGUAGGGAAUCUUCCGCAAUGGACGAAAGUCUGACGGAGCAACGCCGCGUGAGCGAAGAAGGUCUUCGGAUCGUAAAGCUCUGUUGUCAGGGAAGAACAAGUGCCGUUCGAACAGGGCGGUACCUUGACGGUACCUGACGAGGAAGCCACGGCUAACUACGUGCCAGCAGCCGCGGUAAUAC
rnacentral:rRNA from 579 species